rnacentral:rRNA from 1 species
ACUCCUACGGGAGGCAGCAGUGGGGAAUAUUGGACAAUGGGCGCAAGCCUGAUCCAGCCAUGCCGCGUGAGUGAUGAAGGCCCUAGGGUUGUAAAGCUCUUUCACCGGUGAAGAUAAUGACGGUAACCGGAGAAGAAGCCCCGGCUAACUUCGUGCCAGCAGCCGCGGUAAUACGAAGGGGGCUAGCGUUGUUCGGAUUUACUGGGCGUAAAGCGCACGUAGGCGGACUAUUAAGUCAGGGGUGAAAUCCCGGGGCUCAACCCCGGAACUGCCUUUGAUACUGGUAGUCUUGAGUUCGAGAGAGGUGAGUGGAAUUCCGAGUGUAGAGGUGAAAUUCGUAGAUAUUCGGAGGAACACCAGUGGCGAAGGCGGCUCACUGGCUCGAUACUGACGCUGAGGUGCGAAAGCGUGGGGAGCAAACAGGAUUAGAUACCCGGGUAGUCCCAUGAU